UACGAAGGGGGCUAGCGUUGCUCGGAAUCACUGGGCGUAAAGGGUGCGUAGGCGGGUUUUUAAGUCAGAGGUGAAAUCCUGGGGCUCAACUCCAGAACUGCCUUUGAUACUGAAAGUCUUGAGUAUGGGAGAGGUGAGUGGAACUGCGAGUGUAGAGGUGAAAUUCGUAGAUAUUCGCAAGAACACCAGUGGCGAAGGCGGCUCACUGGCCCAUUACUGACGCUGAGGCACGAAAGCGUGGGGAGCAAACAGG
rnacentral:rRNA from 1 species